AAGNAGGGGAUCGCAAGACCUCGCGUUAUUGGAGUGGCCUACGCCUGAUUAGCUAGUUGGUGGGGUAAAGGCUCACCAAGGCGACGAUCAGUAGCUGGUCUGAGAGGAUGAUCAGCCACACUGGAACUGAGACACGGUCCAGACUCCUACGGGAGGCAGCAGUGGGGAAUUUUGGACAAUGGGCGCAAGCCUGAUCCAGCCAUUCCGCGUGAGUGAAGAAGGCCUUCGGGUUGUAAAGCUCUUUCAGGGGGGAAGAAACGGUUACGGCCAAUACCCGUGACUAAU
rnacentral:rRNA from 1 species